AAAUUGAAGAGUUUGAUCAUGGCUCAGAUUGAACGCUGGCGGCAGGCCUAACACAUGCAAGUCGAACGGUAACAGGAAACAGCUUGCUGUUUCGCUGACGAGUGGCGGACGGGUGAGUAAUGUCUGGGAAACUGCCUGAUGGAGGGGGAUAACUACUGGAAACGGUAGCUAAUACCGCAUAACGUCGCAAGACCAAAGAGGGGGACCUUCGGGCCUCUUGCCAUCGGAUGUGCCCAGAUGGGAUUAGCUAGUAGGUGGGGUAACGGCUCACCUAGGCG
rnacentral:rRNA from 1 species